ACCUUACCAGGUCUUGACAUCCUGAGAAUCCUUUAGAGAUAGAGGAGUGCCUUCGGGAACUCAGAGACAGGUGCUGCAUGGCUGUCGUCAGCUCGUGUCGUGAGAUGUUGGGUUAAGUCCCGUAACGAGCGCAACCCUUGUCCUUAGUUGCCAGCACGUAAUGGUGGGAACUCUAAGGAGACUGCCGGUGACAAACCGGAGGAGGGUGGGGACGACGUCAAGUCAUCAUGGCCCUUACGACCUGGGCUACACACGUGCUACAAUGGCCAGUACAGAGGGCUGCAAACCCGCGAGGGAGAGCCAAUCUCACAAAGCUGGUCGUAGUCCGGAUCGCAGUCUGCAACUCGACUGCGUGAAGUUGGAAUCGCUAGUAAUCGUGAAUCAGAAUGUCACGGUGAAUACGUUCCCGGGCCUUGUACACACCGCCCGUCACACCAUGGGAGUGGGUUGCAAAAGAAGUAGCUAGGCUAACCUUCGG
rnacentral:rRNA from 1 species